GGAGAGUUGGGUGAGAGGCUGAAACCAGAAGUUUGCUAAAUUUCCGUAGGAUUAAUUUUCUACCGUGGGUUCGAAUCCCACACUCUCCGCCA
rnacentral:tRNA from 1 species